rnacentral:rRNA from 1 species
GGGCGCAAGCCUGAUCCAGCCAUGCCGCGUGUGUGAAGAAGGCCUUAUGGUUGUAAAGCACUUUAGCGAGGAGAGGCUACUUUAGAUAUACCUAGAGAUAGUGGACGUUACUCGCAGAAUAAGCACCGGCUAACUCUGUGCCAGCAGCCGCGGUAAUACAGAGGGUGCAAGCGUUAAUCGGAUUUACUGGGCGUAAAGCGCGCGUAGGCGGCUAAUUAAGUCAAAUGUGAAAUCCCCGAGCUUAACUUGGGAAUUGCAUUCGAUACUGGUUAGCUAGAGUGUGGGAGAGGAUGGUAGAAUUCCAGGUGUAGCGGUGAAAUGCGUAGAGAUCUGGAGGAAUACCGAUGGCGAAGGCAGCCAUCUGGCCUAACACUGACGCUGAGGUGCGAAAGCAUGGGGAGCAAACAGGAUUAGAUACCCUGGUAGUCCAUGCCGUAAACGAUGUCUACUAGCCGUUGGGGCCUUUGAGGCUUUAGUGGCGCAGCUAACGCGAUAAGUAGACCGCCUGGGGAGUACGGUCGCAAGACUAAAACUCAAAUGAAUUGACGGGGGCCCGCACAAGCGGUGGAGCAUGUGGUUUAAUUCGAUGCAACGCGAAGAACCUUACCUGGCCUUGACAUAGUAAGAACUUUCCAGAGAUGGAUUGGUGCCUUCGGGAACUUACAUACAGGUGCUGCAUGGCUGUCGUCAGCUCGUGUCGUGAGAUGUUGGGUUAAGUCCCGCAACGAGCGCAACCCUUUUCCUUAUUUGCCAGCGAGUAAUGUCGGGAACUUUAAGGAUACUGCCAGUGACAAACUGGAGGAAGGCGGGGACGACGUCAAGUCAUCAUGGCCCUUACGGCCAGGGCUACACACGUGCUACAAUGGUCGGUACAAAGGGUUGCUACACAGCGAUGUGAUGCUAAUCUCAAAAAGCCGAUCGUAGUCCGGAUUGGAGUCUGCAACUCGACUCCAUGAAGUCGGAAUCGCUAGUAAUCGCGGAUCAGAAUGCCGCGGUGAAUACGUUCCCGGGCCUUGUACACACCGCCCGUCACACCAUGGGAGUUUGUUGCACCAGAAGUAGCUAGCCUAACUGCAAAGAGGGCGG